UAAUAAACUUGGGGCUGAUUGAAUAC
rnacentral:piRNA from 1 species